rnacentral:misc_RNA from 1 species
UCCGGCUUGACGCCGGCAGUCCCCCGAGAGUCCUCAGCAUGACCUGUUAGUAACACGGGGCAAGGGUUGCGCUCGUUGCGGGACUUAACCCAACAUCUCACGACACGAUCUGACGACAGCCAUGCAGCACCUGUGCAGGAUCUCCGAAGAGGGGCUCUCGUUUCUGAGAGCUUGCUCCUGCAUGUCAAGCCUAGGUAAGGUUCUUCGCGUUGCGUCGAAUUAAACCACAUGCUCCACCGCUUGUGCGGGCCCCCGUCAAUUCCUUUGAGUUUUAGCCUUGCGGCCGUAGUCCCCAGGCGGAGUACUUAUCGCGUUAGCUGCGGCACCGAGAGGGUCGAUACCCCCGACACCUAGUGCUCAUCGUUUACAGCGUGGACUAC